rnacentral:lncRNA from 1 species
AGGUUUUUUCCAGUCUUUGAAAAGCAUCCUUACCAAUCCCCUGUAUGUUAUAUUUCUGCUUUUGACAUUGUUACAAGUAAGCAGCUUUAUUGGUUCUUUUACUUACGUCUUUAAAUAUAUGGAGCAACAGUAUGGUCAGUCUGCAUCUCAUGCUAACUUUUUGUUGGGAAUCGUAACCAUUCCUACGGUUGCAACUGGAAUGUUUUUAGGAGGAUUUAUCAUUAAAAAAUUCAAAUUGCCUUUAGUUGGAAUUGCCAAAUUUUCAUUUCUUACUUCGAUGAUAUCCUUCUUGUUUCAACUUCUAUAUUUCCCUCUAAUCUGUGAAAGCAAAUCAGUUGCCGGCCUAACCUUGACCUAUGAUGGAAAUAAUUCAGUGGCAUCUCAUGUAGAUGUACCACUUUCUUAUUGCAACUCAGAGUGCAAUUGUGAUGAAAGUCAGUGGGAACCAGUCUGUGGGAACAAUGGAAUAACUUACCUGUCACCUUGUCUAGCAGGAUGCAAAUCCUCAAGUGGUAUUAAAAAGCAUACUGUGUUUUAUAACUGUAGUUGUGUGGAAGUAACUGGUCUCCAGAACAGAAAUUAUUCAGCGCACUUGGGUGAAUGCCCAAGAGAUAAUACUUGUACAAGGAAAUUUUUCAUCUAUGUUGCAAUUCAAAUCAUAAACUCUUUGUUCUCUGCAACAGGAGGUACCACAUUUAUCUUGUUGACUGUGAAUGGGCUUCAAAUAUUUUAAUACUGCAGCACCAAAUUCUUAGCUCUGACCACAGUGAGUACUGCUUCCCUGGUGUAUCUCUACACACUGGAUGAGAUGAUGAUAAAGCCUAGGGAUUGGGGAGCCACCAGUUGGAAAAAGACAAGAUCUCGGAAUGACUGCAUGGAGGAGAGCUGCCCACUUGCCCAGGAACUUUUAUGAGAGCAAGAAACCAACUUCUGGUGUGUUAAAAUUCUACCUUUAAAAACUGUUCCAGACCAGGCACAAUGACUCACGCCUAUAAUGCCAGCACUUUGAGAGACUGAGGUGGGUGGAUCACGAGGCCAAGAGAUCGAGACCACCCUGGCUAACACAGUGAAAUCCCAUCUCUACUAAAAAUACAAAAAAUUAGCUGGGCGUGGUGGCGGGCGCCUGUAGUCCCAGCUACUCAGGAGGCUGAGGCAGGAGAAUUGCUUGAACCGGGAUGCAGAAGUUGCAGUGAGCCAAGACUGUGUCACUGCACUCCAGCCUGGGCAACAGAGCGAGACUCUGUCUCAAAAAACAAAACAAAACAAAAACAAAAAACUGUUCCAAUGUAAUAAUUCAGCUGGGACAAAAUAUAUAUUCUGAUACUGAUGCAUCUGAGUUCUUAUCUCAAAUAGCAGAACACCUUGAUUCCUAGACAAUACAG